rnacentral:rRNA from 1 species
GCGAUACAGGGUGACAGCCCCGUACACAAAAAUGCACAUGCUGUGAGCUCGAUGAGUAGGGCGGGACACGUGGUAUCCUGUCUGAAUAUGGGGGGACCAUCCUCCAAGGCUAAAUACUCCUGACUGACCGAUAGUGAACCAGUACCGUGAGGGAAAGGCGAAAAGAACCCCGGCGAGGGGAGUGAAAAAGAACCUGAAACCGUGUACGUACAAGCAGUGGGAGCACGCUUAGGCGUGUGACUGCGUACCUUUUGUAUAAUGGGUCAGCGACUUAUAUUCUGUAGCAAGGUUAACCGAAUAGGGGAGCCGAAGGGAAACCGAGUCUUAACUGGGCGUUAAGUUGCAGGGUAUAGACCCGAAACCCGGUGAUCUAGCCAUGGGCAGGUUGAAGGUUGGGUAACACUAACUGGAGGACCGAACCGACUAAUGUUGAAAAAUUAGCGGAUGACUUGUGGCUGGGGGUGAAAGGCCAAUCAAACCGGGAGAUAGCUGGUUCUCCCCGAAAGCUAUUUAGGUAGCGCCUCGUGAAUUCAUCUCCGGGGGUAGAGCACUGUUUCGGCAAGGGGGUCAUCCCGACUUACCAACCCGAUGCAAACUGCGAAUACCGGAGAAUGUUAUCACGGGAGACACACGGCGGGUGCUAACGUCCGUCGUGAAGAGGGAAACAACCCAGACCGCCAGCUAAGGUCCCAAAGUCAUGGUUAAGUGGGAAACGAUGUGGGAAGGCCCAGACAGCCAGGAUGUUGGCUUAGAAGCAGCCAUCAUUUAAAGAAAGCGUAAUAGCUCACUGGUCGAGUCGGCCUGCGCGGAAGAUGUAACGGGGCUAAACCAUGCACCGAAGCUGCGGCAGCGACACUGUGUGUUGUUGGGUAGGGGAGCGUUCUGUAAGCCUGCGAAGGUGUGCUGUGAGGCAUGCUGGAGGUAUCAGAAGUGCGAAUGCUGACAUAAGUAACGAUAAAGCGGGUGAAAAGCCCGCUCGCCGGAAGACCAAGGGUUCCUGUCCAACGUUAAUCGGGGCAGGGUGAGUCGACCCCUAAGGCGAGGCCGAAAGGCGUAGUCGAUGGGAAACAGGUUAAUAUUCCUGUACUUGGUGUUACUGCGAAGGGGGGACGGAGAAGGCUAUGUUGGCCGGGCGACGGUUGUCCCGGUUUAAGCGUGUAGGCUGGUUUUCCAGGCAAAUCCGGAAAAUCAAGGCUGAGGCGUGAUGACGAGGCACUACGGUGCUGAAGCAACAAAUGCCCUGCUUCCAGGAAAAGCCUCUAAGCAUCAGGUAACAUCAAAUCGUACCCCAAACCGACACAGGUGGUCAGGUAGAGAAUACCAAGGCGCUUGAGAGAACUCGGGUGAAGGAACUAGGCAAAAUGGUGCCGUAACUUCGGGAGAAGGCACGCUGAUAUGUAGGUGAAGUCCCUCGCGGAUGGAGCUGAAAUCAGUCGAAGAUACCAGCUGGCUGCAACUGUUUAUUAAAAACACAGCACUGUGCAAACACGAAAGUGGACGUAUACGGUGUGACGCCUGCCCGGUGCCGGAAGGUUAAUUGAUGGGGUCAGCGCAAGCGAAGCUCUUGAUCGAAGCCCCGGUAAACGGCGGCCGUAACUAUAACGGUCCUAAGGUAGCGAAAUUCCUUGUCGGGUAAGUUCCGACCUGCACGAAUGGCGUAAUGAUGGCCAGGCUGUCUCCACCCGAGACUCAGUGAAAUUGAACUCGCUGUGAAGAUGCAGUGUACCCGCGGCAAGACGGAAAGACCCCGUGAACCUUUACUAUAGCUUGACACUGAACAUUGAGCCUUGAUGUGUAGGAUAGGUGGGAGGCUUUGAAGUGUGGACGCCAGUCUGCAUGGAGCCGACCUUGAAAUACCACCCUUUAAUGUUUGAUGUUCUAACGUUGACCCGUGAUCCGGGUUGCGGACAGUGUCUGGUGGGUAGUUUGACUGGGGCGGUCUCCUCCUAAAGAGUAACGGAGGAGCACGAAGGUUGGCUAAUCCUGGUCGGACAUCAGGAGGUUAGUGCAAUGGCAUAAGCCAGCUUGACUGCGAGCGUGACGGCGCGAGCAGGUGCGAAAGCAGGUCAUAGUGAUCCGGUGGUUCUGAAUGGAAGGGCCAUCGCUCAACGGAUAAAAGGUACUCCGGGGAUAACAGGCUGAUACCGCCCAAGAGUUCAUAUCGACGGCGGUGUUUGGCACCUCGAUGUCGGCUCAUCACAUCCUGGGGCUGAAGUAGGUCCCAAGGGUAUGGCUGUUCGCCAUUUAAAGUGGUACGCGAGCUGGGUUUAGAACGUCGUGAGACAGUUCGGUCCCUAUCUGCCGUGGGCGCUGGAGAACUGAGGGGGGCUGCUCCUAGUACGAGAGGACCGGAGUGGACGCAUCACUGGUGUUCGGGUUGUCAUGCCAAUGGCACUGCCCGGUAGCUAAAUGCGGAAGAGAUAAGUGCUGAAAGCAUCUAAGCACGAAACUUGCCCCGAGAUGAGUUCUCCCUGACUCCUUGAGAGUCCUGAAGGAACGUUGAAGACGACGACGUUGAUAGGCCGGGUGUGUAAGCGCAGCGAUGCGUUGAGCUAACCGGUACUAAUGAACCGUGAGGCUUAACCUUACAACG